GCACAAGCAGCGGAGCGUGUGGUUUAAUUCGAUGCUACACGAAGAACCUUACCAGGGUUUGACAUGCAAGUGGUAGGAAACUGAAAAGGGACCGACCCUUCGGGAGCUUGCACAGGUGCUGCAUGGCUGUCGUCAGCUCGUGUCGUGAGAUGUUGGGUUAAGUCCCGCAACGAGCGCAACCCUUGUCACUAGUUGCCAUCAUUUAGUUGAGAACUCUAAUGAGACUGCCAGUGAUAAACUGGAGGAAGUGGGGAUGACGUCAAAUCAUCAUGCCCCUUAUGACCUGGGCUACACACGUGCUACAAUGGCCGGUACAAAGAGUUGCGAAACUGUGAAGUUAAGCUAAUCUCAUAAAGCCGGUCUCAGUUCGGAUUGUAGUCUGCAACUCGACUACAUGAAGUCGGAAUCGCUAGUAAUCGCGAAUCAGAAUGUCGCGGUGAAUACGUUCUCGAGUCUU
rnacentral:rRNA from 1 species